GAUGAACGCUAGCGGCAGGCCUAAUACAUGCAAGUCGAGGGGUAUAAGGAGCUUGCUGCUUUGAGACCGGCGCACGGGUGCGUAACGCGUAUGCAACCUACCUUAAUCAGGGGGAUAGCCCGGAGAAAUUCGGAGUAACACCGCAUAAAAUCACAGUAUUGCAUAAUACAAUGAUCCAAUAUUUAUAGGAUUAAGAUGGGCCUGCGUUUCAUUAGCUAGUUGGUAAGGUAACGGCUUACCAAGGCGACGACUACUAGGGGAUCUGAGAGGAUUACCCCCCAAACUGGUACUGAGACACGGACCAGACUCCUACGGGAGGCAGCAGUAAGGAAUAUUGGUCAAUGGACGCAAGUCUGAACCAGCCAUGCCGCGUGCAGGAUGACUGCCCUAUGGGUUGUAAACUGCUUUUAUAUAGGAAUAAAUGUACUUACGUGUAAGUAUUUGAAUGUACUAUAGGAAUAAGGAUCGGCUAACUCCGUGCCAGCCGCCGCAGUAA
rnacentral:rRNA from 1 species